CUCACAAGUGUUCACUUAUGGUACUUGAAGAGAGGCUGGCCGUGAUGAAUUCGAUUCAUCAAAGCGAGUCAUACACGGCUCUCCUCUCUUUUAGUGUCAAAUUCUGCCUCGGAGGGCUU
rnacentral:pre_miRNA from 8 species